UACGUAGGGCGCAAGCGUUUGUCCGGAAUUAUUGGGCGUAAAGAGCUCGUAGGCGGUUUGUCGCGUCUGGUGUGAAAACCUCAGGCUCAACCUGGGGCGUGCAUCGGGUACGGGCAGACUAGAGUGCGGUAGGGGGAGACUGGAAUUCCUGGUGUAGCGGUGGAAUGCGCAGAUAUCAGGAGGAACACCGAUGGCGAAGGCAGGUCUCUGGGCCGCAACUGACGCUGAGGAGCGAAAGCAUGGGGAGCGAACAGG
rnacentral:rRNA from 1 species